ACACCUAAUUUUUCUAGAAUUUUUGAUUCGUCGUUAUUUUCAAUUACUAGAGUUCCUCCUGUUUAUGGGUCCGUCCUGAUAAGAUUCGCAAUAUUGUUGCAAUUUAGAUUUAAAGUACGAAUCAUUACAGAUUGACUGCAAACACAUUGUUCUUAUCGAAUCUUUUCACUAUUUGUUUGAGGAAUCUAGAUAUAUUCGUAAUUAGGUUUUGGUUUGUAUCUCUCUCCCAUAAAUUUUUUUUUUCUGCUAACAUGAUUCUUCUCUUCGCUCGCGAAGAAACUCUGAAUUUUGAGAUUUAAGUUUCCUUAUGGGCUUUAUGUUUGCAGGAAAUUUAGGAGGCAAAAGACGAUGAGAGGAAAAGAAGAAGAAGAUGGACAUGUGGAAACUUUGUGUGUUUCAGAGAACAAUUAGCUUCUCAGAUCCGUCCACUCAGUGAGAGGCACUACCACCACCACCACCCAUUCUCAUCAACAAAAAUUGAUAUCAAAUAAUGCAUCUAUCAAAUUUUGGGUUCAAAUUAUUGAUAAAAUCGGUGAUUUUGGGGGUUUGGAACAAGAAGUUAGGUCAAGUGAUCGUGCUGAGUCCUCAAUUUCUACAUGUGAUUUUGAAGAAGGAAAACUCCAGUGAGUGGUGAAGUUGAUACCUCGAAAGGACACCUUGGAGAUGGAGAUUACUACACCCGAAGAGGUUGCUGAAAAUUUCAAAAUUCGCAUUGGUUUCAGAGGUCCAAGAGAGAUCUGUCAAUAGUUAUUAUGUGGGAGAUCGUUAGAAAACUGUAGACAGGUUUAGCAGCACAAUCAGUAGGAUGUGGUUUGAUUGUUCAUGUUUGUCUAAGGUUCUAGAUGAUGACAAGGUCUGACAUGAGGAACUUAUUGCCUAUAUCGAUAAGAAAAAGAAGAGAUACAAAUGGGUACUUUAUUGAGUCUCUUGGGAUAGAAAUAAAGAUGUUCAAAUCCGUUUAUUCAGUAUCAUCUGAAGUACUUUGUUUUGUCUUUUUCUUAAAAGUAUAUUCUGGGAUUGCAGAAGCUAUUAGGAAUUCUUGAUAUUCCAGAAUUCCUCAAAGGGAUAUUCCUUAUGGUUUCUUAAGAAGGGAUGUUGCUUCCGUCUGUCUGGAUAUCUCUUUGAAGAAACUAUUAGGAAUUCUUGAUGCAAAGGAAGCCGACAAACAUAUCUGUGGAAUGAUGUAUUUUCGUGCAGUGCAUUUAGAGUAGUAUGUCCAUGAACAAUGGGAUCUGAAUAUUUUGGUCCUAACUAUUUAUAGUCUUGGAUCAAUAAAUGACUAAAUUAGCUGUUUUAAACUAUCGGCUAAGAAUAGUAAGCGUUAUUCUAAAUAUGACCUGUGAGCAAUUUCUUUUUUAUAUGCUGAUACCAUUUUCUAGAGCACUUGCAUUUCAUUGUUCUUUUAUUCCUUAAGGAUGCCAUUUUCCAAUCUAAAUUGUAUAAUGUAUGAUUUUUGGUUGCAGCCGCUGUAAGCACUCAAUGGUGACAUCGGAUUGGGUUAUGUUUUCAUUCUUCGAGCCAAGGCAGAAAGCUGACCAGGUAAGCUUUAUAUGAAUUUUUAAGAAAUAUUUGGUUAUGUGGACUGAUGAGCUUUAUACGAGGAAUUUCUAAGAAAUAUUUAGUUAUGUGGACCGAUGACUGUGCCAGAUACAAUCUCUUCUUGCUGUACCCAAAUACAGUUUGUUGAUUUUUUUUCCAGGGGUUCUACUUUGUGCUUUAGGAGAUAAUACAGAAUCACAUAGAUGAUGAUGAGAGGAAUAGAAGGUUUACGUAUAAACCCUAAAAUUAUAUUCUAAGUUUUUUUUUUCUUAAUUCUUCUGAUUAAGUUUAUACGCUAUUCAUUAUUUGAGGGGUAAAUCAAUGGUCGCCUAAUAAGAUUCGUAAAGAUUAUUGUAGUUAAACAUUCUAAGAAAGGAGACAUCAAUGGUAAAUUUUGGUAGAACCAUGGUUUUCUCUCCUUUUGGUGUUGCUUUAUUUUCUCUCGCUGAUGUACCUAUGGAAUCCAUUAAAAGUAGAUUACUGUGUAGAAUAGGCUUUCAUUGGUGUUGCCUUUUGCCGGGUGUUGUUUUUGCUGCUCAAAACCACCGUUACUCCAUAGGUUUAUAGAGGAAACGGGAUCCACACGUGAUGAGUUGCCAUCGGGAUUGCUAGCCCGAAAUUUCUUUAUAUUUUUGUUGGAUGGAAACAUUGAUGUGUAUUUAGCUAUGAAUUGACGGCAUCUUAAUUUCGCAUUGUUUGUAGGGUUUGAGAUCGAAAAUGCUAUAUAAACAGCCGAGUGACAGCUGAAUAACAACGGUAGUGAUGUGGCAACGCUGGGUAGGAAAGACACGACUUUCUCUCUA